UACGUAGGGGGCAAGCGUUGUCCGGAAUCAUUGGGCGUAAAGAGCGCGUAGGCGGUCCGGUAAGUCCGCUCUGAAAGCCCUGGGCUCAACCUAGGAAGUGCAUUCGAAACUGCAAAGCUGGAGUCCUGGAGAGGAAGGCGGAAUUCUCGGUGUAGAGGUGAAAUUCGUAGAUAUCGAGAGGAACACCGGUGGCGAAGGCGGCCUUCUGGACAGUGACUGACGCUGAGACGCGAAAGCGUGGGGAGCAAACAGG
rnacentral:rRNA from 1 species